GCCUUGAAUAUUAUAUUGUAGCAUCUUUUGCCAAAGUCCAGCUCUCCAAACUGUAUCAAAUGCACUUUUGAAAUCAAUGAACGAGCAAAAUAAUUUUUUACCAAAUGAAAAAUAUAGAGAAAUAAGUGAAUGUAAAAUAAAAAUAUUAUCCAUAGUAGAAAACCCUUUUCUGAACCCAGCCUGUGCUCCUGUAAUUAAGCCUAUUUCAUCUGACAAUUUAUUCAAUCUGUUGUUGAGCACAGCAGUGAAUGUUUUACUUAGACAUGAAUUGAGAGUAAUACCUCUGUAAGAAUUCGGGUCAGAUUUGGAACCCUUGUUCUUGAAAAUUGGAACCAUUAUUCCUUUGGUCCAACAUUCUGGUAUAAUACCUGUAUCUAACACAAUAUUAAAUAACAUUACAUACACAUUAAUCAUAUCAUCUAAUGUACAUUUAAUAUAUUCAUUUAAUAUAUUAUCAUAUCCAGC
rnacentral:lncRNA from 1 species